rnacentral:rRNA from 1 species
GACGAACGCUGGCGGCGUGCUUAACACAUGCAAGUCGAGCGGUAAGGCCCUUUCGGGGGUACACGAGCGGCGAACAGGUGAGUAACACGUGGGUGACCUGCCCUCAGCUCUGGGAUAAGCCUGGGAAACCGGGUCUAAUACUGGAUAUGACUCCAUGACGCAUGUUGUGGGGUGGAAAGCCUUGUGCGGCUGAGGAUGGGCCCGCGGCCUAUCAGCUUGUUGGUGGGGUGAUGGCCUACCAAGGCGACGACGGGUAGCCGGCCUGAGAGGGCGACCGGCCACACUGGGACUGAGACACGGCCCAGACUCCUACGGGAGGCAGCAGUGGGG